AUGGUUAGCGACCAAAUCGUUCUACAACUUCCUGAGCGCUCUGGCCGUGCUGUGGCUGUGUCACUGCCGUGCACGUGUGGGUGCGUGUGCGCCUACAGCCGCUGCCCCUCUCAUGCACACGCGCACCCUGGCACUGCUCACCGAGCUGGAAAAGUUCCUCCUAGGACCGCCGACGGAAAGUUUCGCUUUCCACCCCUCGCUCCCUCCAGGCUCAAGCUGGGCACCCCGCUCCCCGCCGCCACCGGAGCCGGCGCCCCCCCUCCCCCCCCGCUGAGGAGCCGGGUCGCUGCCGGUCCCCGGCGGGGCUACAGGGGGGCAGCCCCUCUCCCACGAACGAGUGCUGCUGCUUGGGUCGCCCCCUGCUCGCUCCCCCCGCACUGGCUGCGCUCCUGCCCCCUGGGCUCGACCCUGCCGAUGGGGCCUAACCGGGGCCGGGAGGUUCCCGGGGGGGCUGGAGCCCAGACCCCCGCCGCUGCCGGCUGCCUGCCCGGAGCCCCCGGCACGGCGAUGGGCUUGCGGCGCGGGGGGGCGCGCAGAGUAACGCUGGGGCAGGGGCGCGGAAUUGGGGAGGGGGGAGUGGAAAAAGAAAAGUUCUUGCAACUCGCAACCCCCGCCCCCCUCCUUCUGAACCCCCUCCCCCGAAUUAACGAUCGCCUCGGGGUGCUCUCGCAGGGGGAGAGAGUUUGGGAAUGGCGAGUCCUCGGGCAGGAGCAGCCUUCGCAGGGCUGGAACAAGCGAGCACCCAGUCCCAGCGUCAGCCCCAGUCCCGGUCCCGGUACUUGCUGGGACUUUGCCGGGGCUUUGGGGGCGCUUCCCCCGGCGCCCCCCGAGCCCCGCAGCGGGGUGUCUCCGAGUUGUGUUCCAGCCUCCCCCGGUCCGCAUCCCGGAGCCACCCGCCGUGCCGAGCCGUGCUGUGCCGUGCUGUGGUCACGCCGCGUCGGCUCGGCCGGCAGCCGCUCCAGCCCCCUGUUCACGCGUUGCUCGAUUGCCGGCUUCGGCUGCUGCAGAUUUCCCCGGAGCAGCAGCAGCAGCACCGGGGCCGGGCGCCGCUGCCCCUGCCUCCGGCCGCGCUGCCGCCGGCGAGAAGCGCAUCCUCACGGGCUGCGAUAA
rnacentral:lncRNA from 1 species